rnacentral:misc_RNA from 1 species
UUAAUGAUUAAAAAUCACACUCAGACUGACACUCGAUUCACUCAGGGUUCAAUGGGGUCUCCGGCGGGCGCGGGCCCGGGGGGUUUCACGCCCCCAGGCGACCAGGAACAAGGCCCCCGAUGGGCCCGCCGAAGCAACACGGUACAGUUAAACACGGGUGGGAGGUUGGGCCCGCAAGGGACCCUCACUCGGUAAUGAUCCUUCCGCAGGUUCACCUACGGAAA